AUUGAACGCUGGCGGCAUGCUUUACACAUGCAAGUCGAACGGUAACAGGCCGCAAGGUGCUGACGAGUGGCGAACGGGUGAGUAAUGUAUCGGAACGUGCCCAGUCGUGGGGGAUAACGCAGCGAAAGCUGUGCUAAUACCGCAUACGAUCUAUGGAUGAAAGCGGGGGACCGUAAGGCCUCGCGCGAUUGGAGCGGCCGAUAUCAGAUUAGGUAGGGGGUGGGGUAAAGGCUCACCAAGCCGACGAGCUGUAGCUGGUCUGAGAGGACGACCAGCCACACUGGGACUGGGCACCGGCCCAGACCCCUCCGGGAGGCAGCAGUGGGGAAUUUUGGACAAUGGGCGCAAGCCUGAUCCAGCAAUGCCGCGUGCAGGACGAAGGCCUUCGGGUUGUAAACUGCUUUUGUACGGAGCGAAACGGCCCUCUCUAAUAAAGAGGGCUAAUGACGGUACCGUAAGAAUAAGCACCGGCUAACUACGUGCCAGCCGCCGCGGUAA
rnacentral:rRNA from 1 species